UAACCAGAAAGAGAACUGGGUCUAUUUUUCCUGGAAACAAUUAUAAUGAAACCAGCAGUUAGGAUUAUAUGGUGUUGAAUUGCCUAGUAUACCUGCUGAUUUCCUUUAUUUUUAAAUGAUAAGAAACAUUUGCACAUUUUCCUUAUUCUUUCAGAAUCAGCUUGCAGUAAAAUACCUUAAACUUCCAAGAAAGUUUCAGUUAUUCAUGGAGAAAAGGAUUUGUAGUGACACGGAAAUAUACAUGAUAUUCAUAUACAUCUGUGCUUCUGGCAAAGUAUUUGUGAUUAUGUCUUAUGUUCCUAUGGCUAGGAAAAAUUAUUCCAAAUUGAACACAUUCUGGGUAUAAGGUCUCAAAUUUCAGGGAGUAAUUAUAACACAUUAUACCAAAAAUAGAGAUUGGUAGAAGUAGAAGUAAAGAUAGACAUAGAGAUAUUUUUUUUUCUUUAUAGAUAAGGAAAAAUACAUUGCAUAAAUGUCAUGCAGUUCUUUUAUUUGUUACGGUGCUCUCACCCCAUACAAGCUUCUGAAGCCUUUCUUUGACAGGGUUAUGUAGGAAAGAUAACACUAAUGAAGUGGUUUUGUGAGCACAUGCAGAAGAAGAAAAAUUCUUCUCUACUUUAAAGAUCCAGGAGGAAAGAAGCAGGAGCCAAUAAAGUCAGCACUGUACAACUACCUGGCUGCUGAUUGGAGAUGAACCAUUUGUGUUUCUAAUUAAUCACCUUCUGAUCGGGGAAGGACCACCUGGGCCCUCACCUUCCAGUGUUUUUGCACAGAGCUGACCAUCUUUCUCUAAUCUCAGCCAUUCGCCAUAUCUGAGCUAUAACCCUACAAUUCCUGGCCAGCAUGGGAAAAAAACGGUUUUCUUCCAGCAGAUAGAGCAAACAAGCAGAGGGGGAGAAAACUUCUAGGAUGGAGAUGGGAUUAGAAAGGAAUUGCAUGAAGAAAGGAAGAAAGUGUGGGAUGGUCUAUUGGGAUCUGAGUUGAUGAACAAAUCCUACACACCCUGUUCAAUAUUGGAACUUUUUUCUGAUUCUACAGUUCCACCAUGCAGGCUUUGAGCAACUUUUAUCAGACGUAUCCCCUGAGCUGUAGGAUUGUGACUUGACUCAUGCUUGGAAAACUUUCCAAUUUUCAAGUUCCAAAGAAGAUAAUUAUUGACUCUCAGAAGUGGAAAUUAUGAUUGAUUGACAAAGUGGUCUUACUGUAAAUCCCAUUCAAACGCCUGUCAUUGCCUCUGCAGCAGAAUAGACUGUCCAUAUAUACAGAAUCACAUUUAAUUUCCAAACACUUUCUCAGGCAAUGGGUAUCAGGCCCUUACUUGCAAAUAGACAAUCACCCAACUUGAAGCAGAUUCUCAUAAUGCCAAGCAGACCUUGCAACAAACUCAGAUGUUUAGUUGCUUCCACCUCUACACCAACAGCACCAUUCUAGACCUACAAAGAUUAUAGGCAUCUCCAUGUGCUCUUCCUCCACUGAGAUAUAUGCGUCAUCUGCCAACAAUGCCCCCAUGGUUUUUUACUUAGGAAAAAUGUGACAAACUUUGUGGGAAAGAAUUAAUGGACACAUGCUUGACAUCUGAAUGCCAAACAAGGACAAAGUAGUGCCAGAGUAUUUCAAUGUGGGACGGUCUAUAGCAAAUCUCAAAGUGAUUGUUUUAUAUCAAAAUGUCCAACCAGUUACAUCAUGUAUUUUAACACAUUACAACUGUUAAUUGAUAUUUGUAUCUAUGUGAUUUUUUGAUAAAAAUACAGGAGUGGAUUACCAUUGCCUUCUCCCUUGCAGCAUAUAUUAAUGCUAUUGUCAUGUGAUCGCCUGCCUCUGGCAUAUUCCUUUAUUGCUGCUGCCCAUUAUAAAUUCUUGCUUGAUUUAGCUAAGCAGCCAGGAUGACCUUCACCUUGGGUGACCCUGCUGGGAAUAUAUAGUCUUGGCAUACAUUACUGAUGUUCUUUUCCUAUCCAUCGCAGGAGUAUUCCCAUCCAAGAUAAGGCAACACAGUAGGACUUGGAAGGGGUUAAUUGACAAAAUACUUUUGUAAUCUGCCUCACCUAUAAUCUGCAUUUUUGUAACCAAUCUAUGUUCUUCUUUCCCCUUGUCUUCCACUUCCCCCCACUUUAAAACCUGCAUUAUCUUAAGCCCUCUAUGUAUCUAAUGAAAUGCACUGCAGCUCCCAAAAGGUUAUACCUGUUAAUAAAAAGUCUUAAUAAGGAAAGAUGCUCCCACACUUCCAAUUUUAUGGCAAAAUAAGAUACCUGUAACUUGCUUAGCCAUCCCCCCACACACUCUUUAUUUCCACAAUUUAAUUUUCUUCCAUCAUUGUGAACCAAAAGGCAGUUCAGAUGCCUUUUCCUACCUACUUGUAUUGGCUACAUUCAAAUGGUCAA